rnacentral:rRNA from 1 species
UCAAGCUAUAAAGAGCGCAAGGGGAAUGCCUUGGCAUCAGGAGCCGAAGAAGGACGUGACAAGCUGCGAUAAGCCACGGGGAGGAGCAAAUAUCCGCUAUAUCCGUGGAUUUCCGAAUGGGGGAACCCGCUUGAGCAAUACUCAAGCAUCGUGCAUUGAAUCAAAUAGGUGUACGAGGGGAACGGUCUGAACUGAAACAUCUAAGUAGGACCAGGAAAAGACAUCAACCGAGAUUCCGCAAGUAGUGGCGAGCGAACGCGGAGGAGGCCAAACCGGAGGAUUUAUUCUCCGGGGUUGCGGACAGACAUCACGAUCAGAGGAAGCUAGGAGAACGGCAUGGGAAGGCCGGCUAGAAAGGGUGAGAGCCCCGUAUCCGAAAGCAGGAGCUGACAGUCUGGAUCCAGAGUACCGCGGGACACGUGAAACCCCGUGGGAAACCGGGUGGACCACCAUCCAAGCCUAAAUACUACCUGAUGACCGAUAGAGGAGCAGUACCGUGAGGGAAAGGUGAAAAGGACCCCGGGAGGGGAGUGAAAGAGAACCUGAAACCUUGUGCUUACAAGCAGUCAAAGCACGUUAAGGUGUGAUGACGUACUUUUUGUAGAACGGUCCGGCGAGUUAUAGUAACGAGCAAGCUUAAGGUAUUGAGUACCGGAGGCGAAGCGAGAGCGAGUCUGAAUAGGGCGUUUAAGUUCGUUGCCAUAGACCCGAAACCGGGUGACCUAUCCAUGAGCAGGCUGAAGUGAGAGUAAAAUCUCAUGGAGGGCCGAACCGACCCCCGUUGCAAUGGUGGCGGAUGACUUGUGGAUAGCGGAGAAAUUCCAAUCGAACUCGGAGAUAGCUGGUUCUCCCCGAAAUAGCUUUAGGGCUAGCGUUAUGUAAGAUUACCGGAGGUAAAGCACUGAAUGGUGGCGGGGCCGAUAAGGUUACCAAGACCUAUCAAACUCUGAAUGCCGGAUAAUUGGUGCAUAGCAGUCAGACAGCGUGAGAUAAGUUUCGUUGUCAAAAGGGAAACAGCCCAGACCCACAGCUAAGGUCCCAAAUUCAUGCUAAGUGGAAAACGAUGUGGAAUUGCGAAAACAACCAGGAUGUUGGCUUAGAAGCAGCCACUCAUUAAAAGAGUGCGUAAUAGCUCACUGGUCGAGUGACUCUGCGCGGAAAAUAUAACGGGGCUAAGCAUGAAACCGAAGCUUGGGCUUGUCUUAGGACAGGGGUAGGGGAGCGUCGAGUAUGGGGUGAAGUCAGAGCGAGAGCACUGGUGGACUGUACUGGAGUGAGAAUGCCGGAAUGAGUAGCGAGAAUUAUGUGGGAAUCAUAAUGGCCGAAAAUCUAAGGUUUCUUGGGGAAGGUUCGUCCGCCCAAGGUAAGUCGGGAGCUAAGGCGAGGCCGAGAGGCGUAGUCGAUGCACAUACGGUAGAAAUUCCGUAACCACCGAAACUUAAGUCAGAGGGACACUUUGGAAUAGCAGAACCCGGGCGUUGGUUGACCCGGGCGUAAGGGAGCGAAAUUUAAGUAGCGAAGUCUGCGAUGUCCAGAGGCGAGAAAAGCUCUGAGGUAUGCUAAGGUGCCCGUACCGCAAACCGACACAGGUAGAUGAGGAGAGAAUCCUAAGGCCAACGGGAGAAGGGUUGUUAAGGAACUCGGCAAAUUGACCCCGUAACUUCGGAAGAAGGGGAGCCCCCUACGGGGGGUCGCAGAGAAAUGGCCCAAGCAACUGUUUACCAAAAACACAGGUCUAUGCUAAAUCGAAAGAUGACGUAUAUGGGCUGACGCCUGCCCGGUGCCGGAAGGUUAAGAGGAGAUGUCAGGCAACGAAGCAUUGAAUUUAAGCCCCGGUAAACGGCGGCCGUAACUAUAACGGUCCUAAGGUAGCGAAAUUCCUUGUCAGGUAAGUUCUGACCCGCACGAAUGGCGUAAUGAUUUGGGCACUGUCUCAACAGCCCGCCCGGCGAAA